AGCGAACGCUGGCGGCAGGCCUAACACAUGCAAGUCGAACGGACCCUUCGGGGUUAGUGGCGGACGGGUGAGUAACACGUGGGAACGUGCCUUUAGGUUCGGAAUAGUUCCUGGAAACGGGUGGUAAUGCCGAAUGUGCCCUUCGGGGGAAAGAUUUAUCGCCUUUAGAGCGGCCCGCGUCUGAUUAGCUAGUUGGUGAGGUAAAGGCUCACCAAGGCGACGAUCAGUAGCUGGUCUGAGAGGAUGACCAGCCACAUUGGGACUGAGAGACGGCCCAAACUCCUACGGGAGGCAGCAGUGGGGAAUCUUGCGCAAUGGGCGAAAGCCUGACGCAGCCAUGCCGCGUGAAUGAUGAAGGUCUUAGGAUUGUAAAAUUCUUUCACCGGGGACGAUAAUGACGGUACCCGGAGAAGAAGCCCCGGCUAACUUCGUGCCAGCCGCCGCAGUAAAAC
rnacentral:rRNA from 1 species